rnacentral:tRNA from 2 species
UACAGGAUAGCUAAGAGGUGAAGCACCGGAUGAAUAAUCCGUGAUCGCGGGUUCAAAUCCCGCUCCAGCCC